rnacentral:rRNA from 1 species
CAGACAAACUCCGAAUGCCAAUUAAUUUAACUUGGGAGUCAGAACAUGGGUGAUAAGGUCCGUGUUCGAAAGGGAAACAGCCCAGACCACCAGCUAAGGUCCCAAAAUAUAUGUUAAGUGGAAAAGGAUGUGGCGUUGCCCAGACAACUAGGAUGUUGGCUUAGAAGCAGCCAUCAUUUAAAGAGUGCGUAAUAGCUCACUAGUCGAGUGACACUGCGCCGAAAAUGUACCGGGGCUAAACAUAUUACCGAAGCUGUGGAUUGUCCUUUGGACAAUGGUAGGAGAGCGUUCUAAGGGCGUUGAAGCAUGAUCGUAAGGACAUGUGGAGCGCUUAGAAGUGAGAAUGCCGGUGUGAGUAGCGAAAGACGGGUGAGAAUCCCGUCCACCGAUUGACUAAGGUUUCCAGAGGAAGGCUCGUCCGCUCUGGGUUAGUCGGGUCCUAAGCUGAGGCCGACAGGCGUAGGCGAUGGAUAACAGGUUGAUAUUCCUGUACCACCUAUA